CAGUCGCCCGCGGUAAUACAGAGGGUGCGAGCGUUAAUCGGAUUUACUGGGCGUAAAGCGUGCGUAGGCGGCUUCUUAAGUCGGAUGUGAAAUCCCUGAGCUUAACUUAGGAAUUGCAUUCGAUACUGGGAAGCUAGAGUAUGGGAGAGGAUGGUAGAAUUCCAGGUGUAGCGGUGAAAUGCGUAGAGAUCUGGAGGAAUACCGAUGGCGAAGGCAGCCAUCUGGCCUAAUACUGACGCUGAGGUACGAAAGCAUGGGGAGCAAACAGGAUUAGAUACCCCUGUAGUCCCUGUCUCUUAUA
rnacentral:rRNA from 1 species